rnacentral:rRNA from 1 species
AAGUGUGCUUGGGCGAGAGUAGUACUCGGAUGGGUGACCUCCUGGGAAGUCCUCGUGUUGCACCUC